ensembl:lncRNA
CUCAUGUUAGAUUUUUCAUCUCAUAAAACUAGAAACCUGAUGGUUGUUGGCACUGGCUCAGGAAUUCAAGGAUCUUAGCAGUUAGGUCUGUGUGGUUCUCUUGGUCUCUUGAUUCUCAUGGUCACAAAGAGACUCCUUGUGAUUAAUCAGAAACACCCUACUUAGCCUUCUCAGGAGCCUCACAGAUUGCCACAGCCCCUGUCUUUUUGGUCUUACUUCAAGGGUCCUUCUACAUUGUUAAUACUCUGGUGUAAAUAUGUUCCAUUAUUCCCUAGAACAUGACUGAGAUCAGUCUGAAAUACUAACAUUUUAAAUACAUUUGUCUUCCCCACCCCUUCCCACAUCUCAGUGACUUGUCAGCAACUCCUCCAGUUCAAAGCUGUUCUCCCUCCAGCUCAGUUGGGGUGGGGAAACUCAGGGUUCUGUGUAUUUCACUCAUUCUUUACCUCCUCUGUCACUUCUAGAAUUGGGAUGGGGAAGGGUAUAUUAGAGGCAGAAAGGCUAAACUUUUGGUUUAGUUUGGCUUCAUCAGUGCAUUCUACUAAGACAGGCAUUUAAAUGUUGGUUCAGUGUGUGAGGUGUUGGGGUUCUUUGGAGCCACCCCCUGCCCCCUGGGGACUUUUGCACUAACUGGCUCUGGUUCCCUCCUCAAGAUACUCAUCCCACACCCCUCAGCUUCUGACCCUGGCAGUGUAUCCAUAGCCUCCUAGUGCUAAAGAACCUCACCCUGGCCGGCAGCCCUCCUGAGAGAGGUCUCAGCCAACAUCUUCAGAGUGGUUACCUUUCUGGGAGCCCCAGGAAGCUCCCACUUGUUUGUCCUGCCAAAGGACAGAAGUGCAACCCGACUAGCAGCUGACUCCUCUCCCCUCGCCCUGCCCCAGCUAGCCUGACUCUGACCUCUCCAUUCUCUCUGGCUCCAGACCCCUACAAGUGUCUUGGGUUACUUUCUCCCAACAAGCCUCCACCCCAGUGGCCUUGUUGAACUGAGGCUGUAAGUUUCUGAGUGCAGCAAGCCUCCCACUAGAGAAUGUAAUGCUGAAUGAAUGUAAGGUCUCUCCCUGCCAUGAGAAUACAAAAUGACUGCAAGUGGUCCUCUGAGAGCCCUCCUCACGUGAUUGAGGAUAGAGGGAACAGCACUGCUUCUUUGCCUUUCAGGGGGACGUUCUCUCUGUUCCUCCAAAUUCCCAUCAAUGAAGCUGGUGUUUCUAACUCCAUGUGCGUUAGGAGGGUUAGUGAGCUCUGGAUCAGCUUUAUUAUCUAAGAGUAAACCCUGGGUUGGGCUUCCCCAGUGGCUCUUCAUUAAAGGGUCCACCUGCAAUGCAGGAGAUGUGGCAGGAGCUGCAGGGGAUCUUCCUGACCCAAGGAUCAAACCCACAUCUCUUACAUCUCCUGCACUGGCAGGAGUGCUCUUUACCACUAGUGCCACCUGGCUGAAAUACAACCAGUGUUUGUAUGUUGACCCUUGCAAAGUAACCUCACUUACUCUAGUAAUUUAUCUGUGUUCUUUUAUUUUCUACACAUAUUAUCCUCAUAAUAUGUGAUUAUCAUAUUGGUUUAUUUCAUGCUUUCUAAUUCUGUAUCAUUUAUUCUUAUUUAUGAUGUACUCCAGGAGGUCCAUCACUAUGUUCAAGUGAUGUUGGUAGAAAUCUUUGAAUCAUUCUCAGACUUGAAGGAAGAACUUUCAGUGUUUCAUCACUGGGUGUGAUAUUUGAACUGAGAUUCUGAUUAAUGGUUGUCAGAUUGAUAAUAUGCUCUACUUGAUAUUAUUUGUGUUAUGAAUCAAAUUUAGAAUUUUGUCAAAUGCUGCUUCUGAAUUGAGAUGAUCGUAUAUUUUUUUAAAAUUCUGUCAGUGUAGCAAGUAAAAGAUUUAUUCAUUUAUUUUAUAUGUGAAAUCAACCUUAAGUUUUUGGAAUAAAAUCAGCUUAGUUGAUUAUACCCGUUUUACAUAUUGAUGAAAUCAGUUUGAUAAUAUUUUGUAUAGGACUUUUUAGUCUGUGCUCAUGAGUGAAC